GACGAACGCUGGCGGCGUGCCUAACACAUGCAAGUCAACGAGAAAGGGGUAGCAAUAUCCUGAGUAAAGUGGCGCACGGGUGAGUAACACGUAGGUAAUCUGCCAUCAGGACGGGGACAACCACGCGAAAGCGUGGCUAAUACCCGAUGAAUCGACGAUGCCGCAUGGCAUUGUUAUUAAAUACCGCAAGGUGCCUGGUGAUGAACCUGCGUCCCAUAGGUAGUUGGUGAGGUAACGGCUCACCAAGCCGACGAUGGGUANCUGGUCUGAGAGGAUGAUCAGCCACACUGGAACUGAGACACGGUCCAGACUCCUACGGGAGGCAGCAGUGAGGAAUAUUGCGCAAUGGCCGAAAGGCUGACGCAGCGACGCCGCGUGAAGGAUGAAGUCCGUUAGGAUG
rnacentral:rRNA from 1 species